UCCCUGAUGGUCUGGUGGCUAGGCUUCAGUGCUCUCACCACUGCGGCCUGGGUUCGAUUCCCAGUCGGGGAA